rnacentral:rRNA from 2 species
GCGUUCCCUUCGGGAACGCAAUGACAGGUGGUGCAUGGUCGUCGUCAGCUCGUGUCGUGAGAUGUUGGGUUAAGUCCCGCAACGAGCGCAACCCUUGUUACUAGUUGCCAGCAUUAAGUUGGGCACUUUAGUGAGACUGCCGGUGACAAACCGGAGGAAGGUGGGGACGACGUCAGAUCAUCAUGCCCCUUAUGACCUGGGCUACACACGUGCUACAAUGGACGGUACAACGAGUCGCGAACUCGCGAGGGCAAGCAAAUCUCUUAAAACCGUUCUCAGUUCGGACUGCAGGCUGCAACUCGCCUGCACGAAGUCGGAAUCGCUAGUAAUCGCGGAUCAGCAUGCCGCGGUGAAUACGUUCCCGGGCCUUGUACACACCGCCCGUCACACCAUGAGAGUUUGUAACACCCAAAGUCGGUGGGGUAACCUUUAGGAG